rnacentral:rRNA from 1 species
CAAGACAACUUUACGGAGUUGACGAUUGACGGAGCGAAGCGACGUCAAAGCGUUCAUUAAAGUCGAGUUGGCUUAGGGAUACGUUCGUUGGGUAGGGGAGCGUUCUGUAAGCCUGUGAAGGUGUGUCGUGAGGCAUGCUGGAGGUAUCAGAAGUGCGAAUGCUGACAUAAGUAACGAUAAAGCGGGUGAAAAGCCCGCUCGCCGGAAGACCAAGGGUUCCUGUCCAACGUUAAUCGGGGCAGGGUGAGUCGACCCCUAAGGCGAGGCCGAAAGGCGUAGUCGAUGGGAAACGGGUUAAUAUUCCCGUACUUGGUGUUACUGCGAAGGGGGGACGGAGAAGGCUAUGUUGGCCGGGCGACGGUUGUCCCGGUUUAAGCGUGUAGGCUGGUUUUCCAGGCAAAUCCGGAAAAUCAAGGCUGAGGCGUGACGACGAGGCACUACGGUGCUGAAGCAACAAAUGCCCUGCUUCCAGGAAAAGCCUCUAAGCAUCAGGUAACAUCAAAUCGUACCCCAAACCGACACAGGUGGUCAGGUAGAGAAUACCAAGGCGCUUGAGAGAACUCGGGUGAAGGAACUAGGCAAAAUGGUGCCGUAACUUCGGGAGAAGGCACGCUGACACGUAGGUGAAGUGAUUUACUCAUGGAGCUGAAGUCAGUCGAAGAUACCAGCUGGCUGCAACUGUUUA